rnacentral:rRNA from 1 species
UACGUAGGUGGCGAGCGUUGUCCGGAUUUACUGGGCGUAAAGAGCGCGCAGGCGGUCGUGCAAGUCGCGUGUGAAAGCCCCCGGCUCAACUGGGGAGGGUCACGCGAUACUGCUCGACUCGAAGGCAGGAGAGGGAAGUGGAAUUCCCGGAGUAGCGGUAAAAUGCGUAGAUCUCGAGAGGAACACCAAUGGCGAAGGCAGCUUCUUAGUCCACUACUGACGCUGAGGCACGAAAGCGUGGGGAGCAAACAGG